CGCCGAGGGGGAGUCAGGUGACCUGCGAGGAAGCUUGGCUGGGGGCCGGGAGGCUGCACCGGGGUGCAGGGUGAGGUCAACUUCCCCCUUCCCCGGGGCUUGUACCCCCCCCCCUCCCCGGGCCCACAGGCUGGCGGGAUGUCUCUCCAGCUGUCUGUCCACUGUCCCCUCAUCCCACCAAGGGCUCCGGACCUUGGCUUGUUCCCCUGGUGCCCGUGAAGUCUGAGUUCCCGGCAAGGACCAGCCUCCAGGGGGCUUCAGGUCAAGGUCGUGCAGGGGCUCGGGAGGAGACCCCAGCCAGGGAUUGCGGGAGAGAACCCUGCCCCCGACCCCCACUCCAUCCCGCCCCCACUUCUCUGCAGCUAUUUAAAGCAAGUGGUGGCCGUGGGAAACUUCUUCAGAUGUGUGGUUUCAGCUUCUUCAGCACAGGCACUGGGUCUGCUCUCUCGGUCUGGUGACUCAUCCAGAGUGAGAAAAGCCUUUUUGUUGUUUGGCGCUCGCUGGAGGCUCUGUGGUCUGAGAGCCUGGCCCGAUGGGACCUUCCCUUGCUGGGACUCCAGGAAGGCCUUGGAAGUGCCGGAGUACCCCUUUGUCCCGUCACCAGACCCAGGAAGCCCCUAGGGCUGCAACGUUCUGGAGGGGGUUGGGGCGGCCAGGCUGCCCAUCUUCAAAACCCGUCCCAGCCACCACCUCCUCCAAGAAGCCACGGCUUUCUUCUAUUGGAUCUUUCCAAGGACCUUGGUUUUCAGAGACACACCAACCAGCUGUCCUGCUCUCACUCACUUCUCAUUGGUGAGGCAGUUACAACUGGCAGCUGUGGGUUCGGGGGUGGACCUCACUGAGCCGGCAGGAGGACCUCUAUAGCACUAGGCGGUAGCCAGCCGGCCUGGAACAUUCAGGACGUGGUGACAUCCACUAUUCUGCCUUCCCAAAGAAGGGAGAAUGUUUCUAAGUCCAGAGAAUCCACUGAAUGGAGACCAGGAAGGCACUCCUGACUGUUUUGUUCCCAUUUUACAGAGAUGGCGCUGUGCCCGUGUCAGGAUGGAGAGCAGGACCCGCAGGCCAUGUCCCCAGGGCUCACGCACGUCUGUGGGGUUGGAUGGGAGCCGUCAGGGCGCUUUCUCUUUCCCCGUGUCCCCUGGACCUGCUCUGAAGCAGGCGCAGGGCUGGUUUGGGGAUGUAAGGGGAAGAAGAAGCAGCCGCCAUCAGAGCCCUCAGAGCUCAGUGUCUGGAAGGAUCUUUUCAAUGCCUCUCACUUCCUCUGGGGACCCCUGGGGCUGUUAAAUGUGCAAAGGAUGCGGGGGGGGGGGGCGAUGUUUGGUUAACUUCUUUUAAAAUUUUUUCAAAUUUUUUCUUAUUAAACAUUUUUUGUUUUAUUGAAGUACCGUUGAUUUACAAGGUUAUGAUAAUUUCCACUGAACAACAAAGGGAUACAGUCCUGCAUAUACACAAUCCAUUCUCUUUCAGACUCUUUUCUCACAUAGAUGAUCACAGAAUGUCGGGUAGAGUUCUCUGGGCUCUACAGCAGGUGCCCAUUGGCCCGUCCUUGCAUAUACAUAUGCACACUGAGGAUGCGGAGUUUGGAUUCAGGCACAUCCGAGUUCCAAUUCUAGUUCUCCCACUUGCUAUGGGCCACUGGCAAGCUCUCUGAGCCUCAGUGGGAAGGAGAAGACACCCAAGCACCCAGCACCCAGCAGGCAGGAGAGGAGAUGCUCCCGCCAGCCAACAGGGACAAGGAGGCCCAGAGGCCAGGAGGCGCUCAGCUCUCUGGCCAGGGGACCGGGCAGACAGCAGCUCUGUGCAGCUUCCGACCGUUGGUGGCUGUGGAGAGGGACGCGGUGAGCGGGGGAAAUGAAAAGAGGCCAGACGCCGUCCAGGCCGCAGCACGCAAGGGGCGCCUCACUGGGCCACCCAUCCCCUCCCAGGCCCAGAAAGGGGAAGGCGGCCAGACCGGGAAGUGGUCGGCCUCUGAUG
ensembl:lncRNA